rnacentral:lncRNA from 1 species
GUGCCUGGCUAUUAUUAUUAUUUUAAUAGAGACAGCUCUCAGUAUGUUGUCCAGGCUGGUCUCGAACUCCUGGCCUCAAGCGAUCCUCCUGCCUCAGCCUCCCAAAGUGCUGGGAUUAUAGGUGUGAGCCACCAUUCCCAGCCUAUCCUGUACUUUUGAAUCACCUACAUUACACACCAUAUUAUAGUUGCCUGGGUCCUUGUCAGCCUUUCCUGCACAGCAGGGAAGGCGACCAUGUCGUCCAUCUCUCUUUCCCAGCUCCUAAUUUAAGACCUGAUGAAGAGGGACUCAACCCAAACUUAUCGUUCAGAUGAAUACAUACCAUCGAUUUGUGAAUCUGGUCAGGGUUAGUGGAUCCCCACCUGCCCCAACCUCAUCUAUGCUACUACAGCCACAAGGGCUUUCUGGCCCUGAAAAGGACUUGAUCUAGCUUACUUGUCCAUCAGGGUGCCAGUCAACCUCUCUGUCUUCUGGAAUCUCAGAUAGCUUGACUGGAUUCUUUAUAAUUACACCAGAAAUAGAGUAAGUGUUUACUCUGGGAAACGAGCUCUAAAGGAAAUGAAAUGUCCUUCAUGAGGCCCCAAACUGAAGCAAAAGGAAGGUUGGAAUGGAGGUCUUCCAGCAUGAUAUCCAGGACUCUUUCUACAGAACCCUUACUACUUUCUUUGGGCAGGAGGCAGGUCUUAUGCUUCCUCAAGACCUUAGCACCUAGGACAGGAACUGGGUUAGAAUACAUAGCCAAUGAGUGUUUAUUGAAUGAAUAAAGAAAGAGGGAAGUUCUAUACAUAAACAUGCUCACAAACACACACUCACAUGCACACAAUAUCUUUUCCAUAGAAUUUAAAAACAGAGUGGCAAACCCACAAAAACAGCCACAGAACUUGUGACUUUCCAUAUCAUUAGGCAUGAUUGUGCCACCAUCAGGAAUGAAAUGCACCAGCGGAACCAGAGGUAACCAAGGAUCUUGCACUCUUUAAAAAAAGAAAUUGUUUUUAUAGAGACAGGAUCUCACUCUGUUGCCCAGACUAGAGUGCAGUGGUGCGAUCCUGCCUCACUGCAGCCUCCAAUUCCUGGGCUCAAGUGAUCCUUCCCACUCAGCCUCACUGCAGAUGUGCAGUGCCAUACCCAGC